UACGGAGGUGGCAAGCGUUGCUCGGAAUCACUGGGCGUAAAGGGCGCGUAGGCGGGGAGGUAAGUCGGGUGUGAAAUCCCUCGGCCCAACCGAGGAACUGCGCCCGAGACUGCUUCUCUCGAGUCCCGGAGAGGAAGAUGGAAUUCCCGGUGUAGCGGUGAAAUGUGUAGAGAUCGGGAGGAACACCGGUGGCGAAGGCGGUCUUCUGGACGGUGACUGACGCUGAGGCGCGAAAGCGUGGGGAGCAAACGGG
rnacentral:rRNA from 1 species